UACUCUUACCCCAUCUGUCUCUCGCUCAUUCUCUCUCACUCCAGUUAGUUUCCAGCACGUUGAGUUCUCCCACUAGUUUAGUUGGCGUGUAAAGAAAGAAAGAGACCCCAUUUAAACAAGCUUCGAAAGACACUAUCUCUCGCAAAAAAUACACCACAAAUGACAGCAAAGAGAAAGCAAGAGAAGAAAGAAAGCGAAAGAGACCAAAAACGAAACAAACAAAUAGAAUAAGUAUUGAAGUGUAUGUAAAGACGGGGGAGAAAUUUUCAGGUGCUGCCCGCGGAAGAACAUAUGUUGAGCUUAAUUGCGUUGUGCGGCCAUCUUGCCACCACUCUCCGCCAUUUGAUCAGUCGCUCGCUCGCUCGGCCAGGAUCUGCUGCUAUUAGAUGAGAUUUUGCCCGGUUUCUUUACCUACAUUUUUAUCCACGGAUAACCUUACCGGGAUUUUACUUUCUAAAGGAGUACUUUUUAUUGAAAUCGGCCCGAGGGAAUUCAUUCUAAAUGUCGGGAUUUCGGUGUUGCAUUCAUCGGUUUGAGUGAGUAGUAGAAGAGCGGGAGAGAGAGUGAGAGAGAGUGGGUGAGUGAGUACGAAAGAAAGAAAGAAAGGGUGUGAGUGAGUGAGUGAAAGUGAGUGAGUAAGAGAGAGUGAGUGAGAGUGUGAAAGAGAGAGAGAUAGACAAACAGCAAAAAAAAAAAAAUACAUAUAUAUAUAUAUAAGAUCGUGUGAGUGUGAGUGAAAGUGCAAAACGAAAGAAAAAAAGAAAAGCAUAAAGGAAAAAAAAAAAAAAGAAAUUGUUCUGUAAUUCUCAGCCACUCUUUUAUUUCUCGAAUUCCUUACACCACCAUCUUCGGAUUAUUAUUAUUACCAAUACUACUACUACCACCAGCACCAUUAUUAUUACUACUACUUCUACUACUAUUAUUAUUAAUAUCAUCAUCGUCUCCGUUGUUGUUGUGUUGUUCGGUCGGGUUAUUCCGGCCGCCUCCGCCACUCACUCAUACUCCACAUACACACAUUCUAUCCGCUGUCUCCUGCCGAAGUAUAUAUAUAUAUAUUAUAUCUAUAUAUAUACAUACAUACACAUACAUACAUCCAUAUAAAUAUAUAUUAUAUAUAUAAAUACAUACACACACAUACACAGAAGUAAGUUAUCAUUUUUAUUAUUUUUUUUUUCCUUCAGAUCAUCGUUAUUAUUAUUAUUAUUAUCAUCAUCAUCAUCAAAUCGUCAUCAUCAUUGUAAAAUCCAAAGAAAGUUGAAUUUCAAUGGAAUCGAAGGAGUCUAAGGCCCAGCAACGCACGCAAAGAAACAGGCGCCGUAUGGUGAGAGGUCAGCAGCAACUGCAGGAGAAACAACACCAAGCGGCCCCGAUGGCGGCGGCUACGGCGGCGGCAACGGCGGCGGGAGGCAGCGGCGGCGAGGACGACGAUGACGGCGCGGCCGCGGCGGACGACGAGUGUCCAGCCAGAACCAGCAAGGAUAGCAAUAAUAGCCACAACAACAACAACAACAAUAACAACAGCAACAACAACAACAACAGUAAUAAUAGCAACAACAAUAAUAAUGCUAAUAAUAAUAAUAAUAAUAAUACUAAUAAUAAUACCACUACUAAUAAUAAUAAUAGUAAUAAUAAUAAUAAUAAGUCAAAACCGAAACCACCUCCGCCGUCCCAGCGCCGGAGGCGAACCAGUUCCAAUUCAUUUGACGAGGAUAUUAUUGAUGGAUUUGCCAUCAUCAGCUUCAAAACACUUCAGGAUAUGGAGGUAAGGGAACCUUUCUAUAUAUUUUCUUUUCAUGUGUUG
rnacentral:lncRNA from 1 species